AUUUAACUAUUUAACCACAGGAGAAAGAAGGAGAAAGAAAUAAAACUUCAAGUCUCCAACUACAAGUGUUAUUUUGCACAAGCAAAAGAAAAAGCACACAUUGAUAAUGAUUUAUUUUAAUAUGUUUCUUGUUUUUGUAAUGAACUAGUUAAGUAAACAAGUUCUGCAUUAUAGAUAGAAACACAUCAGAUAACCAACCCUCCCGACCAUAUCACAAUACAAUAGGCCUAGAUUAAAAUGGAAUACAAUCAGGCAAUAUAAGGGGCAGCUGUGACUGUUAAGGAACUCUUGUAACAUUCUACAUGGACCAAUUAUCAGAGCAUUCCACCCCUUCUUUAUAGGUCCAUGGCUGUUUCCCAAUGUGAAGGCUGCAGCCUUGCUAGGACGCGUCCUUGCUAGUCGCGUCCUAUGGAGAUGAGACUAGUGCUAGCUCGAGUGCUUCCUAGCGUUUGUAACGUUCAGACUUUGGAAUGACUGGCUAGUGUGGAAGCGCUUCCGCUGUGUAAACACAUGUGCACUUCUGAAUAAAACAUGGAAGCAAUGAAGCUGAUCAAUAUUUAUUUGCUGUGGUGUGAGCUGGAGGAGGACUCCGAACGACUUUAUUGGCGGAGGGUUGAACGAAGGAUGACGAUUGCUCUAUUGUCGGAGUCUGCCAUCAGAAUGUCGAGGCCAUGCAUUACUGCCAAAACAAAGCCACCGUGCCAGUGCUGCAGCGCUUCUUCCAGGGAGAGGACACCCGCCCUGAUUUCAGGCUUAGCCGGGAGGCUAUCUAGGUCCUCCAAACGGAGCGACGGAUCGAAUGGUGCACAGAAUUGCGGAGGAGGUUGUAGCUGUCCGGGGCAGUUUCAUCAAGCUGCCAUCAAAUUAUGAGGAGGUCAAGGCCAUGGGUGAAGGGUUUGCCCUGCUGGCAGGGCACCCUGCUUUCGCUAAAGCAGCUGGGGCCAUCGACGGAUCCCACAUCUGAAUUAAAUGUCCUUGCGGCCCUGAUGGUCAAGACUUCGUGAACAGGAAGCUGUAUCCAUCCAUGGUGCUGCAGGCAGUCUGUGACCAUCAGGGUCGCUUCAUUGACACCUUCGUGGGCUUCCCAGGAAGCGUGCAUGAAGCACGCAUCCUGCGAAAUAGUUCAAUUUACCUGGCUGGCAAUUACCCUCCACCAGGCCAUUUCAUCUGGGGUGAUGGUGGCUAUCCAUGCCUUACACAGCCGAUAGCCCUUAUCACACCAUAUAAGCGGCCACUCAGAGGCAUGGCAGAGCAAAGGUUUAAAGGGCAACUUCACCCAUUUCACAUAAGCUUUGUAUUUUUAGAACCCCCCUCAUAUUUUUGAAUGGUCUAGCAUCAUUCCCUUAUUUUCUGGAGAGACUGGAGAGAUCCGUAUCGAUCUCCAACACUUCCUGUUUUCAAUGACGCAAUAUGACGAUUUUUGCGUACAAGAAAAUAGGAAGUGUAAGAGGGGAUGAUUCUCGUAACACCGAGAUUCCACCGGACGCGUUACGGCAGCGUUACGGCAGCGGCACGUCUUGGGCGCGACUUUGCCCUGCUUGCAUUUCCACCGGGCGCGUUACGGCAGCGCAGCGGCAGCCGUAUUCACGCAAGAUCACGAGAUCCCGCGAUAAUCCGGAACGUACGCGAGACCGCGAGAUCCCGUGAAAUACCGCGUGUAACGGUACAGCAGAGCCCGUCUCAUUUUAGACAUUCUCUGGUAACAGCUGACUUUGCUUCUCCGACGCUGAAAACUUGAUCUGGCCAUCUAUCCUCAAUUUUCUGCUUCUACCAUGGGUAAGUUUGCUACUCAGUUUCUAUAUUCACCUGGUUGUACUUUUUUAAUCGUAGUUUCAUUAUUUCAUACUUUGUUGUGCUGUACUGAAACUAAUUACAUAGUUAAUGCUGUUAAAAGUCCAGCUAUAAAUGAUUAAAUACAUGAUUUGUUGCUUUUUGUUUAUAAAAACAAUAAGUUUCAUUCAUGAUAAUUAUCAUGAUAAUUAUUUCAUAUGUAUUGUUCACAUAUAGUGCCUUGCAGAAGAAGAACCCUUGCAUUCGUCCUCCUACUUGAAGGACUGCAGAGGAGGGGUAGAGGGAGAAGGAGCCGAUUCUGGGUUCAUCCCCUCAACCAGAAAAGAAGAGAACAAGGCGAUUUUCACAAUCUGGUGGCUGAACUGAGGCUGGACAGUCAACGCCACCAUCAGUAUUUCCGAAUGAGUGCAGAGCAAAUGGACGAACUUCUAUCCUUCAUCGGCCCUGAAGUGACCAGGCAAACCACUAACUACAGAUCUGCCAUAGAACCCAAGCAGAGACUGGCUGUGGCACUAAGAUGGGGCAAAACGAAGGACAUGAUCUCCGCAUAUUUCCAGUCCUUCUGUGUGCCACCUGCCGAUCCACUUGGCCGAUCCACUCUUUUCCGUUUUUUUACAAAUGCGUCCCUUAAAACCUUCCAUCUUGCUUUACACGUGUCAGCUGAAACAAAGGAGAGACACAGUCAGGAACUCAGUCCACAUGGUGUGUGCUGCCAUCGAAAAAACGAUGAUGGAGAGGUUCCUACCCAGGCCAACACAAGAGACAUGGGAGGAAGUGGCUCAAGGCUUCUGGGACAAGUGGAAUUUUCCAAACUGCCUGGGAGCAAUAGAUGGGAAGCAUGUGACCAUCCAAGCCCCAGCACUGAGUGGGAGUCAGUAUUUUAAUUAUAAGAAAACGUUCUCGAUAGUGCUUUUGGCACUUGUGGACUCGAACUACAGGUUCAGGGUCAUUCAAGUGGGGGACUUCGGAAGGUCCAGUGAUGGCGGCGUAUAUGCUGGGUCGGCUCUCGGAAGAGGAAUGGAGACCAAAACCCUUCAUGUCCCACCCAGUACCUCUCUGCCUGGCGCUGCUCACUUGGGUGAUGUGCCACAUGUCAUGGUGGGUGAUGCAGCCUUCCCACUGAAGCCGUAUCUAAUGAGGCCAUACCCCGGACAUCACCUCACUCACAAUAAGAGGGUAUUUAACUACCGACUUUCAAGGGCAAGGAUGGUGGUUGAGAAUGCUUUUGGCAUUCUCUCCUCCAGGUGGAGAAUCUUGCAUCGCAGGAUCAACCUGCACCCACAAAAUGUGGACACCCUUGUUUUGGCUGCAUGCAUUCUCCAUAACUUCCUGCUCGCCCCGAGAGAGAAUGUGAGGUUGCUGGAGGAGGCAGAGCAACAGGGGAGAAACCUGCCAGCAGUACGCAACAUGGGAGGAAACAGAGCCUCGAGAGAGGCCUGUAAUAUCAGGGAGAUCUUCUGCACCUAUUUCAACUCCCCACAAGGCAGUGUGUCUUGGCAGGACAGGAUGGUGUGAAAGUUCUGCAAAAAGUGUGGAAAUGUAUAUAUUUGUAAAUAGAUGUUUUUUUGGUUAUUCAAGGCAAGGCAACUUUAUUUGUAUGGCACUUUUCAUACACAAGGCAGACUCAAAGUGCUUCACAUAUAAACAUUGUCAUACAAUAAAAUAAAAUAAUAGGUAAGUAAAAGAAAAACAUGCAAAAAAUAGAAAGUUAAAAAAGCUUUUUUAGAAAGUGCAAUGUAUUUAGAUGGUUUUUUUUACAUGCUCAUGCUUUAUUGUUCUAUUCUAAAGAUGUCAUCAAUCAUUGUGAAUAAAACAUUUCAAAAUGAGUCCGCUGUUCUUUUCAUCUUCAACUCUCCUGAAAGUUCACACACUUCCCUCACAGCUAACUAUAUGAUCAGUAUUUAACACUGGGUAGUUACAUUUUCAAUAGGUAGUUAUAAUAGUAUUACAUAUUUGUAUACACCUAUAAUACGAUAUAUUGAUGCACUUCUUAUGACAAAUGUACUUAUUGUAAGUCACUUUGGAUAAAAGCGUCUGCUAAAUACCCUACAUGUAAAUGUAAUACCAUAGCUGUGUGAAAUAUUUUGUAAUGUAGGCUAUCUUUUCUUCCAGAAAGUACAAAAGUUUUAAAGUUAUUCAGUCAAGUACUUCCAAAGAAAACUAAUAUUUAAAGUAAUUGAAAAUGUUCUGUAACUUUGCACUGAUCAGGACAUAUUUUACAGAUACACAAAGGUAGAUUUUGUACAGUUCAUUUAAAGUCACAUUUUCAUAAUCUUAAUCAGAAUCAAAGCUUUAUUUGGCAAAUACAUUUUCACGUGAGGAAUUUGUCUUGGUCUUCAGCGCGCACGAUAUUUACAAACACUAAACAGUAAACAAUAAAGCAGUACUUUGUACUCACCAUCCAUUCCCAAAACGACUCCAAUUAAAUUCCACGCUUUGUCCUUCCGGCCAUUGUCCUUAUAAAAAGGAUGUGUGGUUGCAUUAAUUUAUUUAUUUUAUUUU